rnacentral:rRNA from 1 species
UAAGUGAAUAGUGAAAUCUGGUGGCUCAACCAUACAGGCUAUUAUUCAAACUGGCAAACUCGAGAGUGGUAGAGGUCACUGGAAUUUCUUGUGUAGGAGUGAAAUCCGUAGAUAUAAGAAGGAACACCGAUGGCGUAGGCAGGUGACUGGACCAUUUCUGACGCUAAGGCACGAAAGCGUGGGGAGCGAACCGGAUUAGAUACCCGGGUAGUCCACGCCGUAAACGAUGGAUACUG